rnacentral:rRNA from 1 species
GUCUAUGGCCAUGCUACCCUGAACAAGCCCAAUCCCAGUUGACCUCAGAAACUAAGCAGGGUCAGGCCUGGUUAGAACUUGGAUGGGGUUGAUCUCAGAAACUAAGCAGGGUCAGGCCUGGUUAGUACUUGGAUGGGAGACCACCGAGGAAGACCAGGUGCUUUAGGUG